UUUCUACAUUGAUGCUACCCAUCAGAAUAUUGAUGUUCUUCCUCCAUUUUUCUCCAUGAUGAAGCCCGAUCUGCCCUGCUUGACUUAGCUCCAUAUCUCCGAAGAAGGACCAACUUACGAAUCUGAUUUGCACUGUAUUCCGCUGUGAUUGAAGCCUUUUAGCUGAGUUUACUCUUUCUCGAU